CAAGCAACCACAGCCGCAUCGCUAAUUUAGUGAGAGAUUUUAGAAGCAAUACCACCAUAAGAAACAGUAAGCUUCCACGUUAAACUCACCAGUGCUUACUCUUUGCCUCCAUGACUGGGCUGCCUUGAGAGUGAACAAUCUCAAGAAACCAAAGGUGAGGAGAGGCAUAAUUACUUAUUAAAUCCUACACCGAAACUAAAUAAUGUAAUCUGCCUACCAAAAGUAGGCCUAAUCACAAGGAAGCACUCGGCAGUAAGCACUAACAAGGUCUUAGUAUAUAAUAGUAAAACAGGAGCUAGCAAAGGCAAAACUUACCCUCCGUCAAGUGUUCGCCUUCUUAUCCGGCGAAGUAGAAGACUGCGGAGAAGAACCAGCCGCCGCCGCAGGAGCAUCAUGGGAGCAGCAUCCACCUGGGCCGUGGUGGUGAUGGUGGUGGUGGUGCUUCUUAGGCUGCGGCUGCCGCAGAGGCUUGCGCAUAUCGAACGCGUCCUCCCCAUCGGCGUAGUACUUAGCCUCGAUGUCGUGGAUCUGGUACCCGAGGGUUGAGGUGUAGAGGUUGAAGGCGGCGCGGUUGGAUCGGCGGACGUGGAGGGAUACGUACUCGGCGCCGAAGACCUGGUCCAUGGCGGCCUGCGCGGCGGACAUGAGCUUGGUGGCGAGCCCCAGCUUGCGGUGGGAGCGGAGGACGGCGAGGGAGGUGAUGUGGCCGUGGCAGGGCUCCGAGGGGUCCUCCUCCAUCUUGGCGAGCACGUAUCCGACGAUGCGGCCGCCAUAGUCCUCGGCAACGAAGAGGAGCUGCGGCCACGAGAGCAUGUGGUAGAGGUAGUACUUCAUCUGGUAGUUCUCCGGCAGGCACAUCAGGUUGCACGCCUGCAUCGCGAGCAGGUCGUCGAUGGUCGCCUGC
rnacentral:lncRNA from 1 species